AUCCUUUUGUGUUUUCUAAGUGUGAUGACUGGGUUUUCAUGCUGUUGUGUGAGAUGUGUCUGCUCAAACUUUGUUAUGAUGUCAGCACAUUAUCCAUCUGACA